rnacentral:rRNA from 1 species
GACGAACGCUGGCGGCGUGCUUAACACAUGCAAGUCGAACGGAAAGGCCCUGCUUUUGUGGGGUGCUCGAGUGGCGAACGGGUGAGUAACACGUGAGUAACCUGCCCUUGACAUUGGGAUAACUUCAGGAAACUGGGGCUAAUACCGGAUAGGAGCUCCUGCUGCAUGGUGGGGGUUGGAAAGUUUCGGCGGUUGGGGAUGGACUCGCGGCUUAUCAGCUUGUUGGGGGGGUAGUGGCUUACCAAGGCUUUGACGGGUAGCCGGCCUGAGAGGGUGACCGGCCACAGUAGGACUGAGAUACGGCACGGACUCCUACGGGAGGCAGCAGUGGGGAAUAUAGCACAAUGGGCGGAAGCCUGAUGCAGCAACGCCGCGUGCGGGAUGACAGCCUUCGGGUUGUAAACCGCUUUCGCCUGUGACGAAGCGUGAGUGACGGUAAUGGAUAAAGAAGCACCGGCUAACUACGUG